ACCAAGAUGAAGGCGGUGCGCCGCUUCUUCGAGGAAGGCGACAAGGUCAAGGUCACGUUGCGCUUCCGGGGCCGCGAGAUGGCGCACCAGGAGCUGGGCAUGCAGCUCCUCAGCCGCGUGCGCGAGGAGACCGCCGAGAUCUCAAAGGUCGAGGCCGAGCCCAAGCUCGAGGGUCGCCAGAUGAUGAUGGUGCUCGCGCCCAAGGGCUGAGCACGGGCAGGGCGCCUUUGCGCCUCGCCAGACAUGGGCGGGCCCUUCGCGGCCCGCCUCUUUCGUUUCGAGACAGCUGAUUGCGUUUCCUGUGACGCA
rnacentral:misc_RNA from 1 species